UGAGUGGCGAGCGGGUGAGUAACACGUGAGUAACCUGCCCUCUUCUUUGGGAUAACGCCCGGAAACGGGUGCUAAUACUGGAUAUUCACUGAUCUUCGCAUGGGGGUUGGUGGAAAGGUUUUUUCUGGUGGGGGAUGGGCUCGCGGCCUAUCAGCUUGUUGGUGGGGUGAUGGCCUACCAAGGCUUUGACGGGUAGCCGGCCUGAGAGGGUGACCGGUCACAUUGGGACUGAGAUACGGCCCAG
rnacentral:rRNA from 1 species